rnacentral:rRNA from 1 species
AUUGAACGCUGGCGGCAGGCCUAACACAUGCAAGUCGAGCGGAUGAAGGGAGCUUGCUCCUGGAUUCAGCGGCGGACGGGUGAGUAAUGCCUAGGAAUCUGCCUGGUAGUGGGGGAUAACGUCCGGAAACGGGCGCUAAUACCGCAUACGUCCUGAGGGAGAAAGUGGGGGAUCUUCGGACCUCACGCUAUCAGAUGAGCCUAGGUCGGAUUAGCUAGUUGGUGGGGUAAAGGCCUACCAAGGCGACGAUCCGUAACUGGUCUGAGAGGAUGAUCAGUCACACUGGAACUGAGACACGGUCCAGACUCCUACGGGAGGCAGCAGUGGGGAAUAUUGGACAAUGGGCGAAAGCCUGAUCCAGCCAUGCCGCGUGUGUGAAGAAGGUCUUCGGAUUGUAAAGCACUUUAAGUUGGGAGGAAGGGCAGUAAGUUAAUACCUUGCUGUUUUGACGUUACCAACAGAAUAAGCACCGCUAAUUC